UGGGCAACCUGCCCUCAGCUCUGGGAUAACUCCAAGAAAUUGGGGCUAAUACUGGAUAUGACCGCUGACCGCAUGGUCUGGUGGUGGAAAGAUUUAUCGGCUGGGGAUGGGCCCGCGGCCUAUCAGCUUGUUGGUGGGGUAGUGGCCUACCAAGGCGACGACGGGUAGCCGGCCUGAGAGGGUGACCGGCCACACUGGGACUGAGACACGGCCCAGACUCCUACGGGA
rnacentral:rRNA from 1 species